UACGGGGGGUGCGAGCGUUGUCCGGAUUCACUGGGCGUAAAGGGCGCGUAGGCGGCUGGCUCAGUCGGGCCUGUAAGUGCGGGGCUCAACCCCGUGAUGGGCUCGGGACGGGCUGGCUGGGGCGCGGUCGAGGGAGACGGAAUGCCGGGUGUAGUGGUGAAAUGCGUAGAGAUCCGGCGGAACACCGGUGGUGAAGACGGUCUCCUGGGCCGAGGGCCGACGCUGAGGCGCGAGAGCGUGGGAAGCGAACCGG
rnacentral:rRNA from 1 species